rnacentral:lncRNA from 1 species
CUAAUAACCAUGAACUCAUAACUCAUUCAGUUCAAGAGUUUUCAAAAGACCCACAUCAGGACUGGAUAAGUCUGUAUUCCUACGUGGUUGCAUUGUGCUUAUGCCAUGAAUGAUGUCAGAUCCAGAAAACAGAAGCCAAUGAAAACAGCAUAUUCUACAGCUACAAGUAAAUACUGUUCCUCUAAAUGCUUCUACACUCCUAACAACAUAUUGAAAAAAAUGAAAUAAUCAUCUCUAACUAGAGAGGUUUUCUCAGAAUCUUCACUUACUUUCUCUAUUUAUUUACCCAUUCAUUCUCAUUAACAGCUCUCAGAGUUCCGGGAUGCCACGAAGGAAAUGUAACAGGUGUGUAGAGAGAGAUAUCAGCAUCUAAGGAACAAAGAUUGCAUUUUCUUGAAUUCAUAAGCUGUUGAAAAGAAACUAUUAAUUGUCACAAAUAAAAUUUCCUAGAUAAUAGAUAUUCAAGUAACCUGUUUCACCUUUUCCCAUUUUUAAAUUUUUAUUUUUAUUUUCAUCCUAGAGUGCUAUUUGAAAAUGGGAUUUAAUACCAAGGCUUGACACUAAGAAGGAUGAUGGUGUGAGAUGGUUAGCAUAUGCUCACAUUUAGUCCAUCACUAGUUGCCACCUCCUCCACUGAAAGCUGGUUGAACCACCACCUUGAAGAAAGAAGUCUUUCAUUCAUCUAUGAAAAGUACUCUCAGAAACCUUUGAUACACUGGAUGGCAAGAUGUCUGAGGAUACAGAUAUGAGAGCCAAGCUCAACUCACUGCAUGCUUGUCUUUUCUAUGAGGGAGAUGAAGACUAAAAAUAUGCAUCAUCUCUUCCUGGUCUUGGUCACAUAAAAAGAAACUGCUUUAGUUCACUUCUAUUCUGAUGAGCAUAUAAAUGUACACAUGUAUAUGUUAUACAUACAAGAUAGAGGAAACACUGACUUGGUGGUGGUGGUGGGUUUUUGUCUGUAUAAUUAGAUGCAGAUGGUGUAAUCAUUCACUGUAGUAAAAUUGGAUUCUUCAUCUUUUUUCCCUGCACAGACUGCCUAUGCAUAUAGAGAUAAUUUUUGCCAUAAAUAUAAUAACUGAACACCUGAAAGCCCUUCAAUCUUUCAGAACUGAAAAAUAAAAAAAAAAAAUAAAAUCGGAAAUUCA